CCCUUGACUCUGGGAUAAGCCUGGGAAACUGGGUCUAAUACUGGAUACUACAUGUCCCUGCAUGGGGGUGUGUGGAAAGGGUUUUACUGGUUUUGGAUGGGCUCACGGCCUAUCAGCUUGUUGGUGGGGUAAUGGCCUACCAAGGCGACGACGGGUAGCCGGCCUGAGAGGGUGACCGGCCACACUGGGACUGAGACACGGCCCAGACUCCUACGGGAGGCAGCAGUGGGGAAUAUUGCACAAUGGGCGAAAGCCUGAUGCAGCGACGCCGCGUGAGGGAUGACGGCCUUCGGGUUGUAAACCUCUUUCAGCACGGAAGAAGCGAAAGUGACGGUACGUGCAGAAGAAGCGCCGGCUAACUACGUGCCAGCAGCCGCGGUAAUACGUAGGGCGCAAGCGUUGUCCGGAAUUAUUGGGCGUAAAGAGCUCGUAGGCGGUUUGUCGCGUCUGCUGUGAAAGCCCGGGGCUUAACCCCGUGGUGUGCAGUGGGUACGGGCAGACUAGAGUGCAGUAGGGGAGACUGGAAUUCCUGGUGUAGCGGUGAAAUGCGCAGAUAUCAGGAGGAACACCGAUGGCGAAGGCAGGUCUCUGGGCUGUUACUGACGCUGAGGAGCGAAAGCAUGGGGAGCGAACAGGAUUAGAUACCCUGGUAGUCCAUGCCGUAAACGUUGGGCACUAGGUGUGGGGGACAUUCCACGUUUUCCGCGCCGUAGCUAACGCAUUAAGUGCCCCGCCUGGGGAGUACGGCCGCAAGGCUAAAACUCAAAGGAAUUGACGGGGGCCCGCACAAGCGGCGGAACAUGCGGAUUAAUUCGAUGCAACGCGAAGAACCUUACCAAGGCUUGACAUACACCAGACCGGCCCAGAGAUGGGUUUUCCUCUUUGAGGUUGGUGUACAGGUGGUGCAUGGUUGUCGUCAGCUCGGGUCGGGAAAUGUUGGGUUAAGUCCCGCAACGAGGGCAACCCUCGUUCUAUGUUGCCAGCACGUGAUGGUGGGGACU
rnacentral:rRNA from 1 species